GUGCCAUUUGAUACAUGAUAGCUUAUUAGCAUAAUUAAUUUUUAUUAAAUAUUUAGACUAAUAUAUCUACAGCUAACAGCUUAGAUCACAGUUACAGUUGAUCACAGUUACAGCUACAGCUGCGUGUUAAAUACAAUCAUUGUAUGAAUCAAAUAGGCUCUCCAGCGCAUCUCGCGACUGAGAGAAGCUGGCCUCGAUUUUGCUGUGGC
rnacentral:lncRNA from 1 species